AAUCAACGCUGGCGGCGUGCCUCAGACAUGCAAGUCGAACGAUUAAAGCUCUCUUCGGAGAGUGCAUAGAGUGGCGCACGGGUGAGUAACACGUAAGUAAUCUACCUUCGAGUGGGGAAUAACGUCCGGAAACGGACGCUAAUACCGCAUAAUGCAGCGGCAUCGCAAGAUGACAGUUGUUAAAGGAGCAAUUCGCUUGAAGAGGAGCUUGCGGCAGAUUAGCUAGUUGGUAAGGUAAUGGCUUACCAAGGCUACGAUCUGUAACCGGUCUAAGAGGACGGUCGGUCACACUGACACUGAAUAACGGGUCAGACUCCUACGGGAGGCAGCAGUCGGGAAUUUUGGGCAAUGGGCGAAAGCCUGACCCAGCAACGCCGCGUGAAGGAUGAAGUAUUUCGGUAUGUAAACUUCGAAAGAAUAGGAAGAAUUAAUGACGGUACUAUUUAUAAGGUCCGGCUAACUACGUGCCAGCAGCCGCCGUAAC
rnacentral:rRNA from 1 species